UUUAUUCCUUCUUUUCUUCUCUAUCAUCAAUCUUUUAAGCAUGCCACUGUGCAUUCACAUUUUUCUUUCUGCACGUGUCAGCUCAACGCUCUUCCUCAGAGCCCUCUUUCUCCGCCAAAUCCCGCAAAGCAGACUUUAACCACUCAUUUUCCGAACAGGGUAUUCCACACACAACUUUGCACAAGCCAGGCUCUCUGGGCGCUUCCCAGCCACUGUGCUGGAAUCCCCCCUUCCCUCCAAUAACCCACGGCUAAGGACAAAAGAGCAAGUAAAAGGAAACUGACUUACUGCUAUGGCUUGGAGCCUUUCCUUGUGCAACUCUGCUUCCGCCAUCCUGGAGAGAAGGACACGGGAGGAGAGAGAGGGAAACCGGUGGGUGGGAGGGAGAAACGAAAAGGCAAACAAAACCAAAACGGAGCGCACACUGCAGUCACCGGGGGGAAACUGGAGUAAUUGCAAAGAGAGCCGAGCUCCUGUGUAGCCGUCAGCCACUUUUGGAGGCACUGCAGGCUGGCUCACGGUACGAUCAUUUUAGUCACUGGACCAGUGCCUGCCUGGCUGCCUGUCUCCCAGCUGUAUUGCUAACUGCAUUUCAGGGCUGCUUCUGUGUGCUGGUGCUGUCACACAAACCAUGUAGGCACUCUCCAAGCAGCUGAGCAGAGGGAUAGCUCGCAUGGCUAUAAUUUUUUGCGUUGACGUCUCAGCUCAUUUGCUCCUCCUAUGGGGUGCUGGGUCACGGCAGGAGCUCGACAUCAGCGGCGUGCACAGCAAUACAAACCUGCCUGACUGCAGCAGAGGAGGCAGACAGCUGUGGCACGGCGCGUCCUUAGCGCGCGGCGCGGCGCGCAGGGAAGGACGGCGGCGCAUGGCGCAGGGAGCGAGCUGCGGCAGCCGGCGGGCGGCCCCGGCCCCGGCCGAACCAGCGUGGCGUACGGGAAAGGACGGGGCUGCUGCCAGGAGGGAGAGCUCGGACCCUGGGGCAGCUGCACGGACGCUUGUGAGCGCCGCGGUAACACGGCACCCUGCAAAAGGCUGCUGCUGCAGGGCAGCCCUGAACACAAGCGACGAAGGGCAUCUGGAUGGGGAGGGAGAAGAAAGGUGUCCGCACAUCCUGCAUGCACUGCAUGUACUGACAUCAGACAUCGAAAGUGAUAAAGCUGUGUGUACAAACUGUCUCACUGAAGAACCCAGUGUUAUAAACGGAGGAGAAGGAGGCAGGUAGCUGGGUUAUUUGAAGAUUCCCAGGUGGAGGAAGCGGUCUGUCUCCUCUUGGGGUUUCAGUGCUGGCCGCUAGCACUGUAGCUUGCUUACCCAGCUGUAGCACCUGGGAAACUACAGACUGUGUAUCAAUAUAGGGUCAGAUCAUGCUAUAAAGAGGGAUAAAGACAGCCAAAGGGCUGAAUGGAGACACUAAAAGCUUGCUGUUGGUUUCUGAAAAAAACCAAACCAAACCAAAAAAAAAAAAAAAAACCAAACAAAACCACCAAAACCAAAACAAAAAUACCCCAAAACAACAACAACAACAACAACAACAACAAAACUAAAACAAAAAACAAACAAAAAACCAAACCAAACCAAAAAAAAAACUCCGAAAGCUAAGCCUUUAGUAGCUAUCCUGUGCUUCUCAGAUGACAUCUGGUGGACAAAAGCUAAAGAGAUGAAAGCAUUCUGCCUUCAUAGGACAGAGCCUUGAUCCUUGCUCACUUACUGCAGGUGCAGCUAUCAGCUGCCCUCCACACUCUGCUUAUCCACCACACAUCCAGUCCACAGUUGACCAGAAUAAGCACAUGUCACCCAUAUACCACAAUAGCUUU
rnacentral:lncRNA from 12 species